rnacentral:rRNA from 1 species
CGCGGUAAUACGGAGGAUGCAAGCGUUAUCCGGAUUUAUUGGGUUUAAAGGGUGCGCAGGUGGUCAAAUAAGUCAGUGGUGAAAGUCUGCCGCUUAACGGUAGGAUUGCCAUUGAUACUGUUUGACUUGAAUAUGGAUGAGGUAGGCGGAAUGUGUAGUGUAGCGGUGAAAUGCUUAGAUAUUACACAGAACACCGAUUGCGAAGGCAGCUUACUAAUCCAUGAUUGACGCUGAGGCACGAAAGCGUGGGGAUCAAACAG